rnacentral:lncRNA from 1 species
GUCCUGGAUGGCGGAGCCUUGGGUUCCGGGGGCCUGGGACCUGCAACUCUUUCUACAAGAUAUCAAGUUAUUCUAGUACAACCAUAUAAAUAAAUAAUACCUGAAGUCUCAGUGUAACAUGGACAAUUAACAGUGAUGACAGAUAAAUACAGACGCAUGGGGAUCAAAUACUAGGCAAAACGCUUUUUAAAAGUGUAUCAGGCUUUUAAGAAACACUGCAGGAUCCUGUCUAUCUUAAUGCUGAUAGAGCUCAGCUGUAAGUAUCAGUUCUGUGAAAAUAACAGUUGCAGAUGUUCUUGCCUGCUAAAUAUCGUAGUGGAUAAUCUUCCUAUAGUGAACUCUAUUCAAAUAGAGUAGUUAUGUGGUUGAUUAGAACUUGAUAGAGUGCUACUAGGGCACAUUCCAGUAUGCUCAGAGAUAUACUUUAAGUUGUAGAUGUUCUUUGCUUUUGAUGAUUGCUACUACCAUCACACACUGUAAAACGUAAUGUUUUGCCAUGUUUGUGAAAGGCUUCAGUGUUUGGUACAAAGGAGUUGUCACUUGGAGUCUGUUAUAAGAAGAGUGGGUUUUCAAGUCAAGGGUUACUUUAUGUAGGAUCAUGUUUUCGCUGAGCUUCUCCCCAUGUUAACUUAGAACAUUUCUUAAUGUACUGUAGUAUUAAAUGGUUAUUAGACAAUUUUCCUACC